CCGCACCGCCCGCCGGUACCAGUGCCAAAACCACGGUCUUGCUUGCUUCCCACCGUAUCACGUCGUCUUCCUGCCCGGCCACACGCCGGUUGCGCGGUUUCCUGCAACCUAUAAAUUCUACCGGAGGACCUCGCUCUGCCCAUCUCAUAUCACUUCACUGCCACUACUAGUUCACUUCCUUCGGAUCUCGCUCGUGCCUCCAAGCUCUCUUCCACGGCCUCGAAGAUGUCGACGGUGACCCCUGCCUACCGCGACCAGAGGCUCACCGCCGCCAAGCGCUGCUCCAGAGAGGCUGUCAUAGCGGGAGCCAAGGCCGCGGCCGUCGCCACCGUCGCUGCCGCAGUCCCCACCAUAAGUACCCAGGAAGCCAUUCAGUUCCAGAGUUCAAAGCACGUCUCAUGAAUGCGUUACCUGUAAUUUCAGCUGGCGAGGAGAGGCAUUUGGGUGGUCUAGCUCAUCUCCUAUGCACACGAGGUGUUCGAUGAAAUGACCAAGCCACGCUAGUUAAGUUUUCUCCUCUCGAAGCUCGACCUCCAAACUCCAUUUUCCCUGAGAUUUGUCUAGGUUUAGCAGUCCGUCACGUUCCGUCCCCGUCUUUACCGCCAUCGAUCGCCCGCGCCGAUCUCGUCACCUGCACCACUGUGUGCGAUGGUUUUGGUAUCCGCCCCCGUCGGCCCUCGUCCUGG